CUGGAGGUAUCAGAAGUGCGAAUGCUGACAUAAGUAACGAUAAAGCGGGUGAAAAGCCCGCUCGCCGGAAGACCAAGGGUUCCUGUCCAACGUUAAUCGGGGCAGGGUGAGUCGACCCCUAAGGCGAGGCCGAAAGGCGUAGUCGAUGGGAAACAGGUUAAUAUUCCUGUACUUGGUGUUACUGCGAAGGGGGGACGGAGAAGGCUAUGUUGGCCGGGCGACGGUUGUCCCGGUUUAAGCGUGUAGGCUGGUUUUCCAGGCAAAUCCGGAAAAUCAAGGCUGAGGCGUGAUGACGAGGCACUACGGUGCUGAAGCAACAAAUGCCCUGCUUCCAGGAAAAGCCUCUAAGCAUCAGGUAACAUCAAAUCGUACCCCAAACCGACACAGGUGGUCAGGUAGAGAAUACCAAGGCGCUUGAGAGAACUCGGGUGAAGGAACUAGGCAAAAUGGUGCCGUAACUUCGGGAGAAGGCACGCUGAUAUGUAGGUGAAGCGACUUGCUCGUGGAGCUGAAAUCAGUCGAAGAUACCAGCUGGCUGCAACUGUUUAUUAAAAACACAGCACUGUGCAAACACGAAAGUGGACGUAUACGGUGUGACGCCUGCCCGGUGCCGGAAGGUUAAUUGAUGGGGUCAGCGCAAGCGAAGCUCUUGAUC
rnacentral:rRNA from 1 species